rnacentral:rRNA from 1 species
CAAGUCGAGCGCGAAAGGGGAGCAAUCCCCAAGUAGAGCGGCGAACGGGUGAGUAACGCGUGGGUGAUCUACCUUCGAGUGGGGAACAACAGUGGGAAACUGCUGCUAAUACCGCAUGACAUCUUCGGGUCACAUCGAAGAUCAAAGCCGGGGACCGCAAGGCCUGGCGCUUGAAGAGGAGCCCGCGUCCGAUUAGCUAGUUGGCGGGGUAAUGGCCCACCAAGGCUUCGAUCGGUAGCCGGCCUGAGAGGGCGGACGGCCACACUGGGACUGAGACACGGCCCAGACUCCUACGGGAGGCAGCAGUGGGGAAUUUUUCGCAAUGGGCGAAAGCCUGACGAAGCAACGCCGCGUGGGGGAUGAAGGUCUUCGGAUCGUAAACCCCUGUCGACCGGGACGAAAGCACCCGACCUAACACGUCGGAGUGUUGACUGUACCGGUGGAGGAAGCCACGGCUAACUCUGUGCCAGCAGCCGCGGUAAUACAGAGGUGGCAAGCGUUGUUCGGAAUUACUGGGCGUAAAGGGCGCGUAGGCGGUUUCGUAAGUCCCGUGUGAAAGCCCCCGGCUCAACCGGGGAACUGCACGGGAAACUGCGAGGCUUGAGUUCGGGAGAGGGAAGCGGAAUUCCGGGUGUAGCGGUGAAAUGCGUAGAUAUCCGGAGGAACACCAGUGGCGAAGGCGGCUUCCUGGACCGAUACUGACGCUGAGGCGCGAAAGCUAGGGGAGCAAACGGGAUUAGAUACCCCGGUAGUCCUAGCUGUAAACGAUGAGUGCUGGGUGUAGGAGGUAUCAACCCCUCCUGUGCCGAAGCUAACGCAUUAAGCACUCCGCCUGGGGAGUACGGUCGCAAGGCUGAAACCCAAAGGAUUUGACGGGGGCCCGCACAAGCGGUGGA